rnacentral:rRNA from 1 species
CCUCGGGAGGCUGCAGUGAGGCAUAUUGCGCAAUGGGGGCAACCCUGACGCAGCAACGCCGCGUGAGUGAGGAAGGUUUUCGGACCGUAAAGCUCUGUCGAGCGGGAAGAAAUGCAUGGUGGCUAAUAUCCAUUAUGCUUGACGGUACCGCUAGAGGAAGCACCGGCUAACUCCGUGCCAGCAGCCGCGGUAAUACGGGGGGUGCAAGCGUUGUUCGUAAUUAUUGGGCGUAAAGAGCGUGUAGGCGGCUGGAUAAGUCAGAUGUGAAAUCCCUGGGCUUAACCCAGGACGUGCAUUUGAAACUAUCCAGCUUGAGUAAGGGAGAGGAAAGUGGAAUGCCUGGUGUAGAGGUGAAAUUCGUAGAUAUCAGGAGGAACACCGGUGGCGAAGGCGACUUUCUGGCCCUAUACUGACGCUGAGACGCGAGAGCGUGGGUAGCAAACA